GAUUAUGUGCAUAAUGAUUAGUAGCUGGGAUGUGGACAGACGCGAUCAUGAUGUAACCGGUGUGUGUGAGGGCUUGUUGGCAGGCGGCUCGGUGUGGGAGGUGGGUAUGUCAACGCUGCCUGCCUGUGGCUGCUCAUCACUGGGAUAGAUACAGGAAGCACUUUGAGGGAGGAUGAUGAGGGCCAACAGUAGCAGCAGAGCAGGCAGCAGUGUGUUUGUAUGUGUAGGUAGUAUACUGCAUUGUAUUAUUAGCUAAUGCUGGGCAGCUGGGGUUUGAAGUGCCUCACUGUAACUGUACCUAUAGCAGCAGUUGUGCUCCUCUGGUAUAAAUAGUGUGCUGGGCAUGUGGGCAGGCAGCUAUGACACAAUGGCAGAAUUUCGGUGUUCUUCCAGGGAGGUUUGAGAAUGUGACACCCUGCAGACGAGGACCCCCCUAGAUGCUGCGCCGAGGCUUGAAGGUUACCUCAAGCCCAUGAUUCCUGCCUCUCCUUCUCCGGCCUCCUCACUUUGCUGCCACGUGUCCUGAAAAACUACGCCUGGCAAUAAAUCAAAGCCAGGCACUCCUUUAAGUAAGUGCGUCCCUGAGAACAUGAAGUGAGGACACACUCCAGGCUCUCAUGUUCCUCUGUUAUGUCACCAAAUCUCUGAUCGAGCCCCCGAUGACCCUCCUCUCUGGUCCAAGGAGAAACUGAAAACUGAUAAAGAGCCACUUCCUCCUCAGAAGAUCGGCUCGGGCUUUGCAGUGAAGCUGAGCCAAAGCAGCCAAGUCAAACACAAAACGAUAUAUACAGACUUUGGACUCUGCCACCAGGAUGUGUGUUGUGGUUUUGUUUGCAGAGGCCUGUCCAGUCAGGAACAAGAUUGAUGGCAUCAGUUAAUAGCUCAGAAGCAGCUACAGCACUGCUUGUGUUACACCGUCAGAUCUCUUGGACGUAUGAUUGAUCUCAUCUGGGUUGGGUGUAAUUUCAAACUAUAUCACAUGGAAACUACUAAUGUCAAGUUUGUGUCAGAAUGUCCAUUAAUUCUCUCAGAUAAUUACACCAAUGUCUCUCACCUCUUCAGUCACAGAGCCUUUGGAUGACUCCGUCUGCUUCAGCUCAUGGUGUGCAGACAAGUGCUGUUCACACUCACAGUCUCAUUCUUAAUUGUAGUCCAGAUGCCAAGAUUUCCAAAGUAAUAGAUCUGUAGCUGCUGCUGAGAUUAUCUCUUUUUGUGACAUUGUUGGUUUUAGCUACUGUAGAUAUCAUUUUACAAUGAAAGAACUGAGACGUCUUGGAUGUUCUUACAAUCUUAUUGCACUUAUUUGAAAUGCAAGUUAUAUGUUCUAACAUUUAAACUAGCAAAUAAAAAAAUAAAGGCAUCAGAAUUUC